rnacentral:rRNA from 1 species
ACACAUGCAAGUCGAGGGGCAGCAUCAUCAAAGCUUGCUUUGAUGGAUGGCGACCGGCGCACGGGUGAGUAACACGUAUCCAACCUGCCGACAACACUGGGAUAGCCUUUCGAAAGAAAGAUUAAUACCGGAUGGCAUAAUUAUUCCGCAUGGGAUAAUUAUUAAAGAAUUUCGGUUGUCGAUGGGGAUGCGUUCCAUUAGGCAGUUGGCGGGGUAACGGCCCACCAAACCUACGAUGGAUAGGGGUUCUGAGAGGAAGGUCCCCCACAUUGGAACUGAGACACGGUCCAAACUCCUACGGGAGGCAGCAGUGAGGAAUAUUGGUCAAUGGACGAGAGUCUGAACCAGCCAAGUAGCGUGAAGGAUGACUGCCCUAUGGGUUGUAAACUUCUUUUAUACGGGAAUAAAGUGAGCCACGUGUGGCUUUUUGUAUGUACCGUAUGAAUAAGGAUCGGCUAACUCCGUGCCAGCAGCCGCGGUAAUACGGAGGAUUCGAGCGUUAUCCGGAUUUAUUGGGUUUAAAGGGAGCGUAGGCGGGUUGUUAAGUCAGUUGUGAAAGUUUGCGGCUCAACCGUAAAAUUGCAGUUGAUACUGGCGACCUUGAGUGCAACAGAGGUAGGCGGAAUUCGUGGUGUAGCGGUGAAAUGCUUAGAUAUCACGAAGAACUCCGAUUGCGAAGGCAGCUUACUGGAUUGUAACUGACGCUGAUGCUCGAAAGUGUGGGUAUCAAACAGGAUUAGAUACCCUGGUAGUCCACACAGUAAACGAUGAAUACUCGCUGUUGGCGAUAUACAGUCAGCGG